GUAUCAUGUUCACAAGCUGUCAAACUCCUGUGUGAACUUCAGAAGAAAGGGAUGUUUUUGUAUGGUUCCCUACAGCUGCCCUUUGUGAUCAGCUUUAUGUUUAGCGUAAUAAUUAUGUACAUCUAUAGCACCAUAAUUAUAUAGAUGCAAAUUGGAAAAAAAAAUUUGUUUCAUGUGCUUUCUCAAAUUUUUGUUGGGGCAUGUUUUUAGAGGAGGAAUGCCAGCUAGGGUCAAUGGGUCACGUUUAAUGAAAGAUUUGUUCUGGGUUCUUGACCUUGCUGCAUAUAGCAGUUUAUUUGCCUGCUUGGAAAGCUUACUAUACUUAUAGAUCUAUCCAGUGCAGCAAGCCAGUACAUCAACAUUUAUACCCUAGCCACAGAAGGCUAAUUCAAAGAAUGCAGCAAUUAAUUCUUGGAUAUCUUCUCUCAAGCUUGUUCGUCUGGGACGCAAUAACAGCUCAACCGCGAUUGCUGUUAAUGGCAAGAUUUCCAACUAUACCUGACAACCUCAAUUUUCUGGCUGGUUGGUCUUACAACGACCUCAUGCAGUACCGAUUUUCCCGUUGGUUGACUUCUUGAGUGAGAACGGUCUCCUUCGCUUCUGAGGAGUGGACACAAACUGAGAUAAACCAACGCAUUCAGUCAGCCAAGUUUGAGAAAAAAGUGAAGUGAAGUGACUCUCAAGAUUGCUAAGAAAGUGUGAAUGUGUGUUGACUGUUUUAAGAGUUUAUUCUCAUCCAUAAUUAUAUAAUCACUUCAUGAAGUUUUACAUAUCGGAAAUUUAGUAUGGCAUGAAGUUUUACACCUCGAUCAAAUAAAUUAUUUGUCUCUAUAAUAAUUAUGCCUCGAGGCGUAGCCGCAGGAGGGAUACGGUAAAGCUGACUGUGUGUGUCUGUCUGUCUGUCUGUGUGUCUGUUCCAGCUGUAACUGCUCAACGGUUGCAAUGCGACGAAAAGUAACAGCUUCUAUAGGCUUCUAGCCACGUUCUCUUGGAUUUUGAUUCGUGGAUUAGCAAACUAAAGCUUCUUUCUCGAGUUAUGGCUAGUUUGACUCACAUUGAAGGCUGUUGCAGUCUCUUCAGAAUCUUUGUCUUGAAGGCCUGGUAAGCCACAAAACACUACCAUAUAACAAUAUAGAUAACAAUAUGCAUGUACACAGGUUUUUUCUUCUUAGAUAUUAUAUGACACUGAA